rnacentral:antisense_RNA from 1 species
UUUACCUGAUAUGGUCCUGUUUGCACCAUCAGCCAGCAACCUUUCUGGGAAGCAUGCUUAUUAUGUACCAACAUAGAAGCUUGAAUAUAAGAACAGAACACAAGAACGGGGCUGAAGCUCUAACAGAAAAGACAUAAGACCCUUGAGAAAGCAUUACUUGAACACAAGGUUUCUGGGACAUUAAACAUGGGUAUAAGUGCUGCUAUAGUACCUUUCUGGGGAAGACUUCCUCCUGUCUCGGGGACUUAGGCAUCAUUAUCAAAGGCAGGGUGGGAUGAAGAAAGUAAAGUGAAUGCUCUGGUAGACUGAGAAGUCUAGGAUAUACAGGGGGACUUCAGGUGUCAAAACAAGAGGAGAAGGCUUCAGAAGCACACAAUGUCAGGGUCGGAAUUGAAGCCAGGUUGUAGCCCAAAGGGGACAGACAGCCCUGCCAGUUACUGGUGCUUCAGAGGUGGCACGGCUGCUCUCGGAGAAGCAACUGACUAUUUCAGUUUUCCCUGACUACAGCUAUAAGGACGCUCCCUACCUGCCACCCUCCAUAUCAAUCCCCGCCCGCACCUAGACACCCGAAUCA